UACGUAGGCAGCAAGCGUUGUUCGGAAUUACUGGGCGUAAAGAGUUCGUAGGCGGUUCGCUAAGUUUGGUGUGAAAUCUCCCGGCUUAACCGGGAGGGUGCGCCGAAAACUGGCGGACUAGAGUGUCGGAUAGGAAAGCGGAAUUCCUGGUGUAGCGGUGAAAUGCGUAGAUAUCAGGAGGAACACCUGUGGUGUAGACGGCUUUCUGGACGAUAACUGACGCUGAGGAACGAAAGCGUGGGUAGCAAACAGG
rnacentral:rRNA from 1 species